rnacentral:miRNA from 1 species
GGUCGCUCUAGGCACCGCAGCA